GCACUAUCCAACUGAGGAGGAGAUGAAUAAUAUUACAGCAAGUGAAGUGGCAGGACUUGGAGUGGGGACUUUUCUCCUAUGUUGCACCAUUUCUGCCCCCAAGAUUGAUUNCCAAAGAUUGAUUCUUUCAUCUCUAAUUCACAGAGAAGCUCUCUAGGGAUGUGCAAGACAUGCGGGGAUCUAAGGAUGAUAGCUUGCUCAAAAUGCAAAGGAAUUGGAUCGGUCAAGGAAGGUGGU
rnacentral:misc_RNA from 1 species